GUGAGAAGUGGAGGCCGUCGAUUGUGCGUCCGCAUUUUCACCGCUGCCAUUUGCCGCGGGACUUUGCGUAUCGCAGGUGAACAGCGAUUGCGUGGCGCAGAGGAGGAGCUGCUGCAAUGAAUGGCACACAGCUUUCGAACUUUCUUGGUGAUUGCAUUCUACGACAGGACACGUUCGAAUCUGUAAGGAGCAUCUAUAGCUGUUUCUUAUUUCCUUAAAUAACCGUCUAUGACCGGAUUAUAACCAAGGACUAAUUCGUCUAAGCAGCAUUCAAAAAACAGAGUAUAAUAAUAUAUAUAUGUAUAUAUAUAUAUAUAUAUAUUGUAAUGAGCUAUAUCGAGCAAAAAAAUGUACGUAACAGAAAACAAAAAAUCAAUCUCGUAAAAAGAUGUUUUUCUGUGUGUGGUUUCUUAUGUACACCAACAUACCAUUCUGCAAGUGUGUGUGCCGCAGAACGUAUUUUGACAAGACUACUUGAGUAACGAAUCAGAUCAAUUGGAUGAUUUAAUGCGUUUACGAAUAUGAGAUCGAAUGAAUCGAAAAACAAAAAAAAAAAGAUAAUGAAAAGAUUUCUUGAUUUUCUAAUGAAAAGGAAUGAAUUGUCGAAAUAUGUUCGGCUCACAUGAUCAGGGUAUCAGGGUACAGGUGAUCAGGGUAUCAUGUAUAAAUAUCAAAAUACACAAUAAAAUUAAACAAACUCAAAACACGACGAUGUCUAAAAAAAAAAAAAAAAUUAACAGAGAAU